AGUACUCCUACGGGAGGCAGCAGUGGGGAAUAUUGCACAAUGGGCGAAAGCCUGAUGCAGCGACGCCGCGUGAGGGAUGACGGCCUUCGGGUUGUAAACCUCUUUCAGUAGGGAAGAAGCCCUCUUUGGGGGUGACGGUACUUGCAGAAGAAGCGCCGGCUAACUACGUGCCAGCAGCCGCGGUAAUACGUAGGGCGCAAGCGUUAUCCGGAAUUAUUGGGCGUAAAGAGCUCGUAGGCGGUUUGUCGCGUCUGCUGUGAAAGACCGGGGCUCAACUCCGGUUCUGCAGUGGGUACGGGCAGACUAGAGUGCAGUAGGGGAGACUGGAAUUCCUGGUGUAGCGGUGAAAUGCGCAGAUAUCAGGAGGAACACCGAUGGCGAAGGCAGGUCUCUGGGCUGUAACUGACGCUGAGGAGCGAAAGCAUGGGGAGCGAACAGGAUUAGAUACCCUGGUAGUCCAUGCCGUAAACGUUGGGCACUAGGUGUGGGGGACAUUCCACGUUUUCCGCGCCGUAGCUAACGCAUUAAGUGCCCCGCCUGGGGAGUACGGCCGCAAGGCUAAAACUCAAAGGAAUUGACGGGGGCCCGCACAAGCGGCGGAGCAUGCGGAUUAGUUCGAUGCAACGCGAAGAACCUUACCAAGGCUUGACAUGGACCGGAAAGACCUGAAACCAGGU
rnacentral:rRNA from 1 species